UACGGAGGGUGCAAGCGUUAUCCGGAUUCACUGGGUUUAAAGGGUGCGUAGGUGGGUUGGUAAGUCAGUGGUGAAAUCUCCGAGCUUAACUUGGAAACUGCCAUUGAUACUAUCAAUCUUGAAUACCGUGGAGGUCAGCGGAAUAUGUCAUGUAGCGGUGAAAUGCUUAGAUAUGACAUAGAACACCAAUUGCGAAGGCAGCUGGCUACACGAAUAUUGACACUGAGGCACGAAAGCGUGGGGAUCAAACAGG
rnacentral:rRNA from 1 species